UACGGAGGGAGCUAGCGUUGUUCGGAAUUACUGGGCGUAAAGCGCACGUAGGCGGCUAUUCAAGUCAGAGGUGAAAGCCCGGGGCUCAACCCCGGAACUGCCUUUGAAACUAGGUAGCUAGAAUCUUGGAGAGGUCAGUGGAAUCCCGAGUGCAGAGGUGAAAUUCGUAGAUAUUCGGAAGAACACCAGUGGCGAAGGCGGCUCACUGGUCCGGUACUGACGCUGAGGUGCGAAAGCGUGGGGAGCAAACAGG
rnacentral:rRNA from 1 species